rnacentral:rRNA from 1 species
ACUGCUCAGUAACACGUAGUCAACAUGCCCAGGGGACGUGGAUAACCUCGGGAAACUGAGGAUAAACCGCGAUAGGUCAUAAUAUCUGGAAUGAUUUCUGGCUAAAAUCUAUAUGGCCCCUGGAUUGGACUGCGGCCGAUCAGGCUGUUGGUGAGGUAAUGGCCCACCAAACCUAAAACCGGUACGGGCUCUGAGAGGAGAAGCCCGGAGAUGGGCACUGAGACAAGGGCCCAGGCCCUAUGGGGCGCAGCAGGCGCGAAAACUCUGCAAUAAGCGAAAGCUUGACAGGGUUAUUCUGAGUGAUUUCCGCUAAGGAAAUCUUUUGGCACCUCUAAAAAUGGUGCAGAAUAAGGGGUGGGCAAGCCUGGUGUCAGCCGCCGCGGUAAUACCAGCACCCCGAGUGGUCGGGACGAUUAUUGGGCCUAAAGCAUCCGUAGCCGGUUCUACAAGUCUUCCGUUAAAUCCACCUGCUUAACAGAUGGGCUGCGGAGGAUACUAUGGAGCUAGGAGGCGGGAGAGGCAAGCGGUACUUAGUGGGUAGGGGUAAAAUCCGUUGAUCCAUUGAAGACCACCAGUGGCGAAGGCGGCUUGCCAGAACGCACUCGACGGUGAGGGAUGAAAGCUGGGGGAGCAAACCGGAUUAGAUACCCGGGUAGUCCCAGCUGUAAACGAUGCAGACUCGGUGAUGAAUAGGCUUCGUGCCUCUUCAGUGCCGCAGGGAAGCCGUUAAGUCUGCCGCCUGGGGAGUACGGUCGCAAGACUGAAACUUAAAGGAAUUGGCGGGGGAGCA